GCAUCGGUGGUUUAGUGGUGGAGUUCUCGCUUACCGCGUGGGAGACCCGGGUUCAAUUCCCGGCCGAUGCA